GAUGAAGAACGUAGCGAAAUGCGAUAACUAAUGUGAAUUGCAGAAUUCCGUGAAUCAUCGAGUCUUUGAACGCACAUUGCGCCCCCUGGUAUUCCGGGGGGCAUGCCUGUCCGAGCGUCAUUGCUGCCCAUCAAGCACGGCUUGUGUGUUGGGUCCCGUCCCCCUCUCCCGGGGGACGGACCCGAAAGGCAGCGGCGGCACCGCGUCCGGUCCUCGAGCGUAUGGGGCUUUGUCACCCGCUCUUGUAGGCCCGGCCGGCGCUUGCCGACACCCAACCAUUUUUUUCAGGUUGACCUCGGAUCAGGUAGGGAUACCCGCUGAACUUAAGCAUAUCAAUAAGCGAGGA
rnacentral:misc_RNA from 1 species